UGUAGUUUAAUGGUGGAGUAUGUGCUUGGCAUGCAUGAAACUCUGGGUUCAAUCCCCAGCA
rnacentral:tRNA from 1 species